rnacentral:misc_RNA from 1 species
AAACAGAUUCAAAUCGUACCAGUCACAUAUGUUUUACUCUAAAAACUACACUCAAUACCAGAACCAAACUAAAAUCUCCCCUAAAAACCGAGCACGAAAAUCACUAUAGGUACAAUGCGGUCUAGAAGAGAGGGUGCAGUAAGAACAUCACAGCACCAACGAUGAUGAACGCCUUGCAAAAUCCGAUAAUGGAUCAGAGCCACCAAGAAUCCCCUGCCUCAAGAAGAGAGCAGAACACGAUCAACAACCCCAUGGCCGCCCACCGUUUACCAUCAGCUAGGGAGCGCGUAGCCGUAUGCGGUGUCCGUGAACGAGGCGCCGGCGACAUCGAACGCGUCGCUCUCGUCGAGGUACAGGUUGACCCUGAAGGCGGCGUGCGCGCCGAUGACGGCCGCGGCGACGACGAGGGAGACGAGGAGGUUGAGCCCCGCGCGGGUGAGCGCGACGGCGAGCACGGUGGCGGCCGAGAGCGCGGCCAGCACGACGCGGUCGUCCACCUCGCGGCGGAGGCACACGAGCGGCUCCCCGCCGCCGCGGCCGAAGUAGAGGCCGAGCCAGGCGACGAAGAGCGCCAGGAACGCGAGCAUGGACGCGGGGCGGUAGACGAGGCCGAGGAAGACGAGCGCGAGCGCGGCCAGCGCGUAGUUGGCGCGGAAGUAGGCGAGGUUGCGGCGCGCCCGCGCGCGGGCCUCCCCGCAGCUGUCCGGGCACGAGAACGCCGUCGGGUCCAGCACCUCACGCCACGCGCGCGGCCGGCCCGCCGCGGCCCCGGCGAACGCUCGCGCGCGGGAGAAGAAGGCGACCCCGGCCUCCGCCGCCGUUGCCGCCGCCGAGGAGGAGGAGGGCGCCGCAUCGCCGCCCGCGGCCGCGACGUCCUCCGGCUUGAGCUGCGGCGCAGGGGGGGAGGUGGGGAGGGCGCCGUAGCGCGACCACGACGCGGUGGAGGAGGACAUGGCGGGCCGCUGGCGAACCCCAGCCGCCGGGCGCUGGAUCGGGCCUCGGGCUGUGGGAUUGGUGCGGUGGCUUGCGCAGCUGUGCCGGGUUGGCCGCUUGUUGGCCUGGCCUGGCCUCUUCGAUCGCGGGGAUCUGAACGGAGGAGGAGAGAGAGAGAGAGGAAAGGUCUUGGGAUUGAUUUUCAAUUAACCGCUUCCGGCC